UUUUCUUUCGCUGAGGGAUUGGGGGAUUGAACUCAGGUUCAAUCAGGCUAUGCAACCAAGCAUGUUUACCCACAGCUAUAUCAUUUGGCCCAACAUUUUGGUUUCCUUCCUUCCUUCCUUUCUUUCUUUAGAUAGUAUGUAGCUCAGGCUAGCCUGAAACUCUCUAUGAAGCUAAGGAUGACCUUGAAUUCCUGAUCAUCCUGUCUCCACUUCCCUCAUGCUGGGAUGACCUGUACCACUGUUUUUGUACAAAGCUAACUGGUGUGGCAUCUUCUCUCCAGAACAGACACUUUGCUGACAUCAUGAGUGACGAAAAUGAAAUUUCAGUCACCAUCUCCCACAGCCCUGAGGGACCUGGACCUGGACAUGCUGGAGUCCCCAGUGCUGUCAACACCUGACACUCGGUCCCAUGACUAGAGUGAUGUUUAGCACCAAGCUGGGCAGGCAGGAACAGUGACCCAGUCAUCUCCAGCUGUGAACUGGAGGCCCAAGCCCCCUCCGUGGCCGAAGACACUGCCCUCAGCAUUCCCUGGUAGGUGGGGGAGAACAGGUGUAGAUAUGGCAAGUGACACCAGCCAGCCACCGUCCCUUGAGAUGCUCUGACGAAGCAAGUGUCUGAAAGCUGUGUUCUGUGUUCCACUUGUUCCUGUGCUGAAGUUCCAACCUUUGCGACAAUGGACAGAGACGGAAGAGCCCGAGACUCUUCUGGAAAGGAGCAGAGUUCUAACUGCGAGCAGCUGCGACCCACACAGCACUUCCUGGGUAACCCGUGUCGUGACACCGAGGAGGGGCGCAUCACCGCAGAGGCAAAGAAGUGGUAUCUUUGAGUUGGGACAAGUUUACCACCAUGAUGGACUGUCUUAGUUUUAUGAGAAGCAUCUGCAGUAGGAAGGGUCCUCAAAAGUUAACCCAGGGCAUGCUGACCCGGGGUUUCUAGCCGACUGUGAGACGGACUCCAGCAGGUGUUUGUGCACUCUUGUUCUGGGCAGCCUUACUCUAAAUAGCCAAAAGCAGAGUGUGCAAGGAGUUGGCUCGCCAGCUGCUGUGGCCGGCAGAGCGGUGACCGGGGAAGGCAGUGUCCACCUCCAGUCCGAGGUGGCCGGACAGACUCGACUAUACUUUCCGUGGAAGCCCUGCUGUUU